rnacentral:rRNA from 1 species
AGUGAACGCUGGCGGCAGGCCUAACACAUGCAAGUCGAACGGCAGCACAAGAGAGCUUGCUCUCUGGGUGGCGAGUGGCGGACGGGUGAGGAAUGCAUCGGAAUCUGCCCAUUUGUGGGGGAUAACCUCGGGAAACCGGUACUAAUACCGCAUACAACCUACGGGUGAAAGCAGAGGAUCUUCUGACCUCGCGCAGAGGGAUGAGCCGAGGCCGGAUUCGCUAGUUGGGGGGGUAAAGGCCCACCAAGGCGACGAGCUGUAGCUGGUCUGAGAGGAUGAUCGGCCACACUGGGACGGAGACACGGCCCAGACUCCUACGGGAGGCAGCAGUGGGGAAUAUUGGACAAUGGGCGCAAGCCUGAUCCAGCCAUGCCGCGUGUGUGAAGAAGGCCUUCGGGUUGUAAAGCACUUUUGUUGGGAAAGAAAAGCAGCCGGUUAAUACCCGGUUGUCAUGACGGUACCCAAAGAAUAAGCACCGGCUAACUUCGUG